rnacentral:rRNA from 1 species
UACGUAGGAGGCAAGCGUUGUCCGGAAUCACUGGGCGUAAAGCGCGUGUAGGUGGUGCGACAAGUCUGCUGUGAAAGCGCCUGGCUUAACCGGGCGAGGUCGGCGGAAACUGACGUACUGGGAGGCCGGUAGGAGGGGGUGGAAUUCCCGGUGUAGUGGUGAAAUGCGUAGAGAUCGGGAGGAACACCAGUGGCGAAGGCGGCCUUCUGGACCAAUACUGACGCUCAUGCACGAAAGCGUGGGGAGCAAACAGG